rnacentral:rRNA from 1 species
CGGCGGACGGGUGAGUAACACGUGGGUAACCUACCUAUAAGAACUGGGAUAACUCCGGGAAUCCGGGGCUAAUACCGGAUAAUACAUGAAACCGCAUGGUUUCAUGAUGAAAGACGGUUUUGCUGUCACUUAUAGAUGGACCCGCGGCGUAUUAGCUAGUUGGUAAGGUAACGGCUUACCAAGGCAACGAUACGUAGCCGACCUGAGAGGGUGAUCGGCCACACUGGAACUGAGGCACGGUCCCAGACUCCUACGGGAGGCAGCAGCC